rnacentral:rRNA from 1 species
GACGAACGCUGGCGGCGUGCCUAAUACAUGCAAGUUGAGCGCUGAAGGUUGGUACUUGUACCCACUGGAUGAGCAGCGCACGGGUGAGUAACGCGUGGGGAAUCUGCCUUUGAGCGGGGGACAACAUUUGGAAACGAAUGCUAAUACCGCAUAAAAACUUUAAACACAAGUUUUAAGUUUGAAAGAUGCAAUUGCAUCACUCAAAGAUGAUCCCGCGUUGUAUUAGCUAGUUGGUGAGGUAAAGGCUCACCAAGGCGAUGAUACAUAGCCGACCUGAGAGGGUGAUCGGCCACAUUGGGACUGAGACACGGCCCAAACCCCUACGGGAGGCAGCAGUAGGGAAUCUUCGGAAAUGGACGAAAGUCUGACCGAGCAACGCCGCGUGAGUGAAGAAGGGUUUCGGAUCGUAAAACUCUGUUGGUAGAGAAGAACGUUGGUGAGAGUGGAAAGCUCAUCAAGUGACGGUAACUACACAGAAAGGGACGGCUAACUACGUG